rnacentral:rRNA from 1 species
GACAGCAGUCGCCACGGUAAUACGUAGGUGGCAAGCGUUGUCCGGAAUUAUUGGGCGUAAAGCGCGCGCAGGCGGAUAGGUCAGUCUGUCUUAAAAGUUCGGGGCUUAACCCCGUGAUGGGAUGGAAACUGCCAAUCUAGAGUAUCGGAGAGGAAAGUGGAAUUCCUAGUGUAGCGGUGAAAUGCGUAGAUAUAGGAAGAACACCAGUGGCGAAGGCGACUUUCUGGACGAAAACUGACGCUGAGGCGCGAAAGCCAGGGGAGCGAACGGGAUUAGAUACCCGCGUAGUCCCUGUCUCUUAUACAC